CUGCAUACGGAACAAUAUGUACACGUUGGCAAGCAUGGGUGAGAAAUAUUUUGAACAUGCAGGCAUUACCUGGGAGCAGUUCCGUACCGGCAUACGUGAGAUGGAGAUCUGCAUGGUGGAGAAAAAGGUCGUGCCCCAGGAUGGGAACAUUGCCUUGGCUGUUCUCCGCUGGUUUCGUUCUACAUUCUUUCGCUAGAGUAGAUAACGGGAGACCUGGAAUACACCUAUCUGAAUGAAUACAUAUAUG